GCAGGCCUUGUUGAAGGCCUACAAAAGGGACAUGGGGCCUGAGACAGGUGAGACACCUGCCAGCAGAGGGCUCUCCAAGGCCUGGAAAAGAGCUAAUUCCCAGAUGACCAGCAGGAGGCGUCGCACUGCCAACUCGUCUCAGGACUGGAUCCACGAAUAAUGAUGGAGGUUUGACAUGCGGCAAGAGCAUGUAGAAGUUGCUCAGAAUUUAGUGCAGAGGAAAUCUAUGAAG